rnacentral:tRNA from 3 species
UCAGUAGCUCAGUGGUAGAGCGGUCGGCUGUUAACCGAUUGGUCGUAGGUUCAAGUCCUACCUGAGGAG